rnacentral:rRNA from 1 species
UACGUAGGGUGCGAGCGUUGUCCGGAAUUAUUGGGCGUAAAGGGCUCGUAGGCGGUUUGUCACGUCGGGAGUGAAAACUCAGGGCUCAACCCUGAGCCUGCUUCCGAUACGGGCAGACUAGAGGUAUGCAGGGGAGAACGGAAUUCCUGGUGUAGCGGUGAAAUGCGCAGAUAUCAGAAGGAACACCGGUGGCGAAGGCGGUUCUCUGGGCAUUACCUGACGCUGAGGAGCGAAAGUGUGGGGAGCGAACAGG